UCUCUUCUCAAAGCACUUGCCGUGUCUGCGCGGUGACCCGGUGAGUUGUCGUGGAAGAGGAAAGAAACGCGUUGCUUUUGGGUGAAGCGGCGGCAUAAUGUGCUGUGCAGCUUCAAUCAGUGACGUGACAUGA
rnacentral:snoRNA from 1 species